rnacentral:rRNA from 1 species
UACGGAGGGUGCGAGCGUUAAUCGGAAUCACUGGGCGUAAAGCGCGCGUAGGCGGCUUUUCAAGUCAGGGGUGAAAUCCCACGGCCCAACCGUGGAACUGCCUUUGAAACUGUAGAGCUUGAGUGUCGGAGAGGGUGGCGGAAUUCCAGGUGUAGGAGUGAAAUCCGUAGAUAUCUGGAGGAACACCGGUGGCGAAGGCGGCCACCUGGACGACAACUGACGCUGAGGUGCGAAGGCGUGGGUAGCAAACAGG